AAAAAAUAGAUAAAUUUGAAGCUGUGUUUUUAAAGCCACCAGCGAGCUAUGGAAACAACAGUACACCGUGAUCUAUAAUUCUACGAGCCAACAACCACCAGCCAUUUCCCCACUUUAUGGGGCAUGGAGAGAAAAGACUGAGUCUAUGCAUGGGCUGAACAUUGAGCUGGGGGAGGGGCGGCAGGGAAGAGAGGGGUAUAAAAGAAUAACUGAAGCUGUUGAAGAACCAUAUCAGAAGAAAAUGGCAACUCUCCCAGUGUACACUCUCUUGAGUGUAGAGAGAAAGUUAGACAUACGAAAUGGUCCUUUUUUUUUUUUUCUCAAUGGGAAAGGAAUAUGUGGGAGGCAAGGAAGCUAGAAUGAUAAUUAAUAAGAGGCAAGUUACAAAUUUAGUUUUAAAGGCUUUAAUUGGCUUUAUUUCUGGUUUUUGAUCCAGGAAACCUUUUAUUCCAGAGAAUAGAGUAAGCGUUCUGAUGAGCUGAGCAGAAGUAGCAGGCUUUACGGACAGAGCAUCCCCGAGGGAGGCAGAAGCAAGGAGCAAGGCAUAGAUUUGCGCCUCAGCUUUGGUUCUAAAGAUGCUUUCCCUAAAAUCUCGGGCCAGGAGACAGAGCAACAGCAAGGAUCUCAGGAUGAAAUCAAUGUGUUCCCUAUCUCCUGUGACACAAUGACCAGCUUCGGUCAGGUAGGAGAGGCCAUUCGGCCAUCAUCUUGGAAGAUGUGUUAUCAAGUCUAAUUUUCCCCCUUUGCUAUUUAAGAUAUGUAUGGAUAUAUGGGUAAAUGUUUGUUUGUUUGUUUGUUUGUUUGUUUGUUUUAUAGAACCAUUGGCUUAAAAAAACCUUAAAGGACCUAUAUAUAGUGUUUUGUUUACACAACCCACUGGUUUCGAGUUGAGGAAACAAGUAUGUAUAAAAUUCUAGAAGACAUCAGUGGCCCAGCCGGGAAGGGAAGAACUGUAGAGUUCAAGGUUUCCAAUUGACUCUGGAGAUGGGAGUCCCACUAGGAAAGCAGCCACAGACUCCGAUGUCUGGGAGAGUGAAGGCCCUUCGGUUGGCCAGCCCAUCACAUCAUCAUCUCCCUUCCACAUUCCGCUCCCUUUCCUGAUGAUGGUUCAGCUGUCCACACACCUGCUCAGGCCACUCUUCCUUCCUCGUUGUCACCUUUCAUGAACAUUCCAGUAUCAUCCUGCCCUCGCCUCAGGACUUCAGCAUCUCGUGUAGUCGAUGCCUCUGAGCUUAGAACCUGUGUUUUCCCACCAUGAUCUUUGCAACGCAAACCAUUUUAGAUGACGCUAUUACGAGCUACAUAGAUGCAUUUGGCACCAUGUGUGUUAAUUAAUAACUGUGUAUCUCAGAGAGUCUUUCAUACCCCCCGAGGCCUGUCUCAUCGCCAAUAAAAUGAGCAUAAAAAUAUUUAGCCACGGGGUUGUUCUCAUGAACCACAAUAAUAGCAUAUAUAAAAUGUUCAGAACCCAUCAUGUGAUCAAUGAAUGUAACCUGCUUCUGCCAGUCUCAGUUCUCCAGUAGACUGCUAGGAAGCUGGAGGACAUCUCUGUCAUUAACAGAGAGUCUUCCCAUCGGUGUAGCAGACCCUAAGGUGCCUAUACUUAGCGUCCACCCAUUUGGGGCUCUUCACUGACCAUGAUAUAAGCUCAGACCCACAGGGACACUGCUGCUUAUCCAGCUUAUAUGGCUCAGGUUGCCCACAGUAGUCAAAGCUUCUGGAAAUGCUUUCCUUGUGUUCCUCCGAGGCCUUGUUUCUACUGCAUGCUGCUUGUGCUAUUCUCAUACAAGGAUCCAUCCUCCCAUCCAUUUCUACACCAAACACAAGCAAGAUAGAAGAACUGGACAGCAAGAAUCUGUGUUCCUCAGGUAUCUGCAGAAGAUUUGAAGGGUCUCAAGGAGCGAUUCUACUGAGAACUAGGAACAAGCUACCAUCCAUCACCCGAAACGUUCAGAUCUUUCUCUCUUCCUUUCUUCCUUCCUUCCCUCCUUCCUUCCUUCCUCCCUCCUUCCCUCCUUCCUUCCCCUUUUCCUUCCAUCCUCUAUCUUUCUUUCUUUCUUUCUUUCUUUCUUUCUUUCUUUCUUUCUUUCUUUCUACUUUCUUCCUUCCUUUCUCCCUUUCUUUCUUCCUUCCCUCCCCUUCCUCCUUCCUUCCUUCAUUUUUCUUUUUUCUUUCUUCCUUCCUUCCUUCCUACCCCUCUCUCCCUCCCUCCCUCCUUCCUUCCUUCCCUUCCUUUUUCUUUCUGUCAUUGUUGCUGAGAGGGGCUCUUUUGAGGCUAGGCUAGCCUAGAAUGUGCUUUAUAGCCUUGCGAUUGCAUCCCCAGGACGGGUCGUAAGAGGCAUGCGCCUGUUCCCUUAGCUACUUCUUUAUGAACAGUAUCUUCCCACUUCUCAGAGCACCCAGGUCACAUCUAUAUUCCUUGGUGUGUGUGUGGGGUCUCAUUGUCUGUCUUUUAGCAUCUAUUAAAGCAUGUCUUAAGUACUGUGUACCCUCCAGAGAGAAAUUUCAGUAGUAGUCUCUUUAAAAAUGAUGUUUUUUCAUCUAGUAAAAUGCAGAAGAUUUUGUCACCAAAGUCCCACUUAGACAAAAAAAAAUCUUCAAAGGUAGUCUCCGUGUAUUCUUUUUUUUUUUACACCCCCUCAUUCCAUCAGAUGUAGGACAUGAAGACACUAUAUAUACAUUCGAUGAACCAAAAUUACUGAAUACAAAUAGAUCUUAGAGAACUGUCACAUAUUCCUCUGUCAAAAAUUAUCAGAGUGCUAAAUCUAUGAAGGUCUCAGAAGGCAUGCUGGGUUACUUUCUGGGUGCCCUGAGACAGGAGUCAAAGGAAGCACCAAUGACCUGCUUGACAUAGCUUUGUAAUAACAUCACGGAUCUGGAAAGUGUGCUUUUUGGAGGCAUCCACAACACAUGACCUGUGCUCCCAUUUCCAAACCAGAAGGCCACCCCGCUGCUCCCUCUCCUGUUGCUUAUUCAUGUAAGUGAGGCCUCUCAGGACGGUGGUUAUCAGAAAUCUGAUAAAAGUCCUUGGCCCCUCAGGCCUUUCAUUCACAAAGAAACAGUACCCCCCCCUUCUUCCUUUCUUUCCUCUUCCUUUCCUUCCCUUUUUUUGAACUAAAUGUACGGUGCUUUUCUCCCUACAGAAACCCCUCAGAGAUAGCUAAGUGGGCUGACUGGAAACACCUGCACUUUGCCUGAGUCCCCACCCUGUCGUCCUUCUCCACCAUUAGCAGAAGUUGAACAAGAACACCUGCACAGAGCCACAUGUCCCUCCAAGGAAAAACACUGCCAAUCUUCUUUUCCUUGUUGUCUUUGAAAAUCGGCCGUCACAGCAACACAAAAGCGUCUCUCCCUUCAAGUUCUUUAAUCAUAUUAUUUAAGGGAGAUAAAAAAGAAAACAAAACAGAACCCAAGAAACGAAUGUAGUUCAUCCCGGGAGCCUCUGAGAUGUUCACAUAACGGUCUGAGGGCACCGGAUCUCUUUCCUGCCUUUCAUGUGGUUUUUCACAGCAAGGUUUCUGGCAUGGAGCACAGCUCCUUGAAGAAGCUGACACUCUUCAUCAAGAGAUGCCUUCUUAGUGGUAGUUUCCAGUGAGAAUUGGGGGUGGGGAGAGGAUACCAAUUUCAAGUCUGGGAACAUCUAAGAAAGUUACUAUAUGGGACUCAAACCUUCUGGAGACACCUCCACAACAGUCUGUUCCACCUAGAUAAUGUUGCUAAGGACACUAGGUGACCAUUUCUCCCAUCCUUUCCUGGCAGUACAAGUCAGCUCUGGACACACAGCUGCCCAGCUAAUAACUAUACUUCCCAGCUUUCCUUGUACACGUAAUAAUGAAGCUGUAACCAAGUCAAAGCAUCCCACCUCUACCCUUUGCCCAUGUUUGUCAGUUUGCUUGAUGGGGCUAAUAUUGGAGAAGUCGUGACCAUGGACAUGGAAUGCCUAGGUGACUAUGGGAAUGAGGCUUUGCUAGACUGCGGUGGGGGACACUGUGGAGUUCUGCCAUCAGUCUUUCUUCCACUGAACGAGCGUUUUGAUAAUUUCUUGAAAAAGUUCUUCCUUUUAGUGUGGGCCUCCGGGGGCAUUCCCUUCUAGCUGAAUAUUUAAGAUUUUUGAAUCAAUCAGACAUAAUACUUUCAAAACAUACUGAUUAAGGACAGCAGAAAGUCCCACACAGUCCCAUACGCUGUCGACCCACGUUAGCGUGCUUCAUAUGACCUAGAUAAAGGUAAGGCCCAGGAAUUUAGGCCUUGGCAUAAGAGGCAGCAUCAUAAUGGACAUUGAAGAUGUAAGAAAUUUCUAAGUGGCCUCUGGAACACGGAUGAUUAUAUGACUGAGGGCCUAGACAGAUGUCAUUAAAACUUCUUUCCAAGGAACAGAUGUGCCCAUGCACAGUUUAGUUGAGCUAAGGCCUCACAUCAAAAGGAUGUGCCAAUAUCACACUGUUUGUUCUCAAAGUACCAUGAACGACUUUGAGGUUUCCUUUCAUUAGAGUGAAAAUGUCUUCAAAACCAUCUCUUUUUGACUUACUGAUUGCAAUGUCUGAUGAACCAUCAGCCUACCCUGCAGUAUCAUUCCAGGACUGAGGUUUCCCUUGGAGCACACUUUGUAAGAAGUAUUUGUUACACUAACUGUUGCUGCUUUGACCCAGGUCUGCGCACAUAAGGAUGGACUAUUGUCACAGUGUCCUCCUAUAACUACUUUCUCUUUCUUUUGCCUCUUGCUGACUCCAGUCUACUCUCUAUGCAACUACUUUGAAAUGCAAAGACAAUAGAGCCUAUUUUCUGUCUAAAACUGUUGGCCCCUAUCACCUGCAGGAUGAUGUAGAACACAGCACUGGCCUUCUCUGCUUCUCCCCCUGCUUAGGAUGCCUUUGGUCAAUGAGUUUGAUUAACUUCUCAUUCCUCAGAGCCUCAUCUUUGAUGACCUCUGAGAGCCAGCGCAGUUCAUCAUCUCUCUUAUAUUACCUUGCACAUACUUUUGUCUUACAACCUCUCACACCACGUGACCCAGGAAACUUGUCUAUUUACAGGUUAUCUUCUUAAGAGCAAGAACUACAUCUCCUCCCUUUUUCAUCUGUGUGUGCUUAGUACCGGACAUCAUGCUGGCACACAGUGAAACCUCAAUAGACGUUUUGGCAAUGUAAACGCAUUGUUGUAAAAAUUAGCAACUUCCAGGCUGGAGAGAUGGCUCAGCGGUUAAGAGCACCCGACUGCUCUUCCAGAGGUCAUGAGUUCAAUUCCCAGCAACCACAUGGUGGCUCACAACCAUCUGUAAGGAGAUCUGAUGCCCCCUUCUGGUGUAUCUGAAGACAGCUACAGUGUACUUAUAUAUAUAAUAAAUAAAAUAAAUCUAAAAAAAAAAUUAGCAACUUCCAUUUGCAAACACAAAGUGAUGGACCAGUGGUUCUCAACCUGUAGGCUUUGACCCCUUCAUGGGGGUUGCCUAAGACCUUUGGAAAAUACAGAUAUUUACUUUACAACUCAUAACAGCAAACUCACAUUAGGAAGUAUCAAUGAAAAUAAUUUUAUGGUUGUGGGGGAGGUCACCACAACAUGAGGAAUUAUAUCAAAGGAUCUCAGUAGUAGGAAGGUUGAGAACCACUGUGAUAGACGAAUAAAGAGUGGGUUUUCAGGAAUUUAGGUAAUUUCCUUUACAGCCCUGUGUAGAGGAAAGGUCAUGUUGCAAAAUGCCUGUGUGUCUAACUUGGAUGUGGUGAGGCUCUCCUCCAUCUUUGGAGGUAGAGGAACCUUUGCUUGAACUAUGAGUUAACUGGAAUUCUCUUAAAAACCCAUAUUUGGGAGUCCUUAGGAUGUGACUUUAAUUAGAGAUGAGAGCUUUACAAAAAUAAUCAAAUUAAAACUAGGGUGUUGUGUAGUACUGUGGCUUAAUUACUACCCCUACCAACCCAUAUGUUGGCGUUCUAAACAACACUAGAAUGGUAUUUGGGAACAGGCUGCUAUGAAGGUAAUUAAAUUUAAAUGAGGUCACUAGUGUGGCUCUUAGCUAACGUGACUGGUAUCCUAUUAAAGAGGGAAAGGCGACAUACAGUGAUGCCCAGAAGAGAGAAGCCAUCUGCUAGUCAAGGAGAGGGCUUAGGAGAAACCUGACAACACCUUGAUCUUCAACUUCUAGACUCUUAGCAUCCCUUAUUAACUAACAGUUCUUGUUGACAUACCCAAGAACUGAAUCAUAAAUGUCACCUCUGGAAGGAACAUUAACAAUCUAUUCUUUUCCUCUUCAAGAUGGCAAAACAGAGGCCCAAGAGAGAAAAGUCUUGUCUAGUAGCUUUACUGGCUGGAUGAGGUCUCCAUAGACUUCUACUCAGAGUACCAUGUUUCUCCACUUCGUGUUCCUCCAUACCUUAUAGCAGCCUGCUUCAUACAUACAUACAUACUUACAUACAUACAUACAUACAUUCAUAUACACAUACAUUCAUACAUACACACAUUCAUUAUACAUACAUACAUUCAUUAUACAUACAUUCAUACAUACAUACAUGCAUUCAUAUAUACAUACAUGCAUUCAUAUAUACAUACAUACAAUCAUAUAUUCAUACAUACAUUCAUUAUACAUUCAUACAUUCAUACACACAUUCACUCAUACACACAUUCAUAUAUACAUACAUACAUUCAUACAUACAUAAAUUCAUACAUACAUCCAUACAUACAUACAUACAUUCAUACAUACAUUCAUACACAUACAUUCGCUCAUACACACAUUCAUAUAUACAUUCAUACAUAUAUUCAUACAUACAUACACUCAUACAUACAUACAUAUAUGCCUACGUACAUACAUAAGUGUAUGAGUCUUCCUCAGGACAGCUUAAAUGAGUAAAAUCACCUUCAGUGUUAGCUUAGAAUAUCCUGAGCCAAAUGCCCUUCAGCAUAAACUUUACGGCGUGUGGAGGUUUUAUUAUGCAUUAGCUGUAUUCUUGUUGAGCUAUCUGGAAGCAUGGGAGGGGAACUCAUCUCCAUUUUUAGACAGGUUAGUGUAAAUUUUUUGCUCCCCUGUUCCUAAACAGACUUUUACCAAGAGAGCUAGCCUGGCACAAUGGGUAUUUUUCCCUGUCUCCAAGGAAAACAACUAGUUCUUUUUUUCAUCAUGAUUCCUGAGGUGUUCUAGUGCAAUCACUCUUCCAUGACUACCUGGAAGGGUUUCGGUACCAGACAGCUCAGCUCUUACUCAAGCCUUUCAUAGUUUUUCUCAUUCUCUUUACUUCAUUCAUAGUGCGAAGAUGUUCACACUAGAGUAUUGGAUGGCUGUGAGGGUUGAUGAUUGACUGUUUCCAUGACAUGGCUGCAUUAGGUUCGUGACAGAACUCAAAGGAAUAUCCUGGGGUACAGCAGGGGUGUUUCCUAUCUGAGAAUCUUCUGGGGGCUGGGGUCUCUGUAACAGGAAGUGCUAUGCUGAAGACAUAGUGUAGUUACAGUCCCCUCUCCUCUGCCCCCACCUGUCUGCUGUGUCACAUAGAAUCCACAUUUACUUGGGUUGGAGUCUCCUUGAGAUGACUCUUGCCCAAUGUCAGGGUAUAAGAAAAGCCUUUUGGGGCUCUCCCUCAACCGUCCUGUGACAGAGACACACAGCCUGGCACGAGAGAGCAGUGGUCUGUUCUGUAUCUUUGUGGUUAGAUUAGCUUACGUAAUCAGCAUUCUCCUCCAACAGAGCAACGAGGCUUUCUACCCCGGAAAGGAGAAACCUACUCAGAAUAUUUAAGUUUAGGCAUUGAUUCCACUAGCUGAAGUUGAAGAAGCUUGGAGAGAUGCUUAGUUUCUGUGAACUUCAAGUUCCUCCUCUGUAAAAUGAAGCUGGUGGUAGCACCCGCUCGGCAAAUUUAUUGUGAACCAAAGAGACGGUACAGUUAAAAGUAGCUUGCCAGUAUCACGCUGAUUCCUCUGGUCCUCUAGCUGGCUCUAAGAUUCACAGUCCACUCACAGCACGAGCCCCUCCCUUACAGCCUGCACAUCAUUACUGAGCAAAUGUCUCAUAUCUUAUAUUUACAAUGCAUUGUUGAGGUGCAGAGAUCAGACAUCGUAUCUACUCCCUGAUCUUGCAGCCUAAGUACUUAUUGGUGGUCCAGAACAUAAGUAGAGAAGUAUUUGGGGGGUGGGGUGUAUUUAUAGAUGGCAAAGAACUGUUUCACCCUAACGGAGCAUGGAUUUAGGACCUAGGACCUACAUCCCAAAAUCUUUUUCCUACAUAUCCUUGAACACUGGAUUCAAGGCAGAAAGCACAGAGAAAGUCUUGCUCUUGGAGACCUGAGUCUGGCUCAGAUUCUGGGUCCUCCCUCCUUCCCUGCUUUUUCCUUAACUGUGAAUCAAAUGGGGCCAACACGGAAAGCACCUAGAUGUACCUGGAGACUUUGGCAAUAUAAAGCAAAGGUGAAAUAUUGUGGGCAAGGAUUGGCUGUUGAAGUAGUGCUCUUGGCCUAGCUAGCAUUGGAUUUGCCAUGGAUGAGGUCCCCGAGUGCUCACCUGAGUAGGAUUCUGGCCUGCAUUGCUGCCAUAGGUUGAAGGUCCGAGAGCGACUGCUGACAGGAUUGCUCGCUGUGCAGUUGUAGAUGCUGUCCUGAUGCUGGUUGCUAAGGAUGAGGUGCAGGAGGUGGGAGCGGUUGGCUUGGCUUGGCAGACGGGUACCUGCCUCAUCACCCCAGCUGUAAGACACAUUAUCCCCUCUCUUCACCGUGCAGGCUAGCAGCAAGUGGCAGGUCCCAUUCUCCUCCUGGGUUUUGUUUAGCACUUUAAUCUCUGGAGUGGAGACCUGUUCUGUCAGGAGGAGGAACAAGGGAGCCAUCACUGAAACAAAGGUCCCGGAAGUGUUGACUUAUUUGUCAAGAGAAAGUCUAGCCAGAUGUCAUUUUUCCCCUCACUGAGAAACCUUGAGUGUGAGUUGUCUCUGCUAGGGAGCUGUAACUCAUAUCAUCCCUCACCCCACCCUGCUCAUUCCAGGAGCCUCUUCAGAUAGAACAGAGAAGCAGUUGGCGUACGGUUCCUUUCUGUUAGGAUGCUACAUGCCUCUCCUGAUGCUUGCCGUCUAGAUUGCUCUGCCUUGUUCUAUCAGGAAUAAGAUAGGUUGACUGGCUUAUGAGUACAACAUCCUAGACUGUGAGCUAAAAGCAUGAACUUUCAGUGGUAGGCUUUCAUUGAGCACAUGUGUACGCAUGUGUGCCUGCGUGCGUGUGUUGUGGACGUGGGUGGUGGUGGUGCAAGGACUUUGUGGGUCUGAAGCAGGGGUAAAGUUUUAAACCUUAGCUACGGGUCCUAUCAACCAGACAAUUCCAGUGCCACAAGAUAGGCAAGGUAAAAGGGAGGUCACGUCUGUGUUUAAUCCAGCUGCUACAGGAUCAGCACAUCGCUGGCGUUUCAUAUCCAUCUUCUUUCAUUCUCUCAACUAUUAUGACUAAAAGUAAUCAUUCCCAUUUUGCAAAUGAGAAAAUGAGUCUUCAGAGAAACAGUAUGACUUAAAUGACUAUGUAGCUUCUAAGUGGCCAGGCUGAGAUAAAUACCUUAGUCUGAUUCAGAAAUCAGCCUCUCUCUCUCUCUCUCUCUCUCUCUCUCUCUCUCUCUCUCUCUCUCUCUCUCUCUCCUCAAAGAAAA